rnacentral:rRNA from 1 species
UUUUGUAUAAUGGGUCAGCGACUUAUAUUCUGUAGCAAGGUUAACCGAAUAGGGGAGCCGGAGGGAAACCGAGUCUUAAUUGGGCGUUAAGUUGCAGGGUAUAGACCCGAAACCCGGUGAUCUAGCCAUGGGCAGGUUGAAGGUUGGGUAACACUAACUGGAGGACCGAACCGACUAAUGUUGAAAAAUUAGCGGAUGACCUGUGGCUGGGGGUGAAAGGCCAAUCAAACCGGGAGAUAGCUGGUUCUCCCCGAAAGCUAUUUAGGUAGCGCCUCGUGAAUUCAUCUCCGGGGGUAGAGCACUGUUUCGGCUAGGGGGCCAUCCCGGCUUACCAACCCGAUGCAAACUGCGAAUACCGGAGAAUGUUAUCACGGGAGACACACGGCGGGUGCUAACGUCCGUCGUGAAGAGGGAAACAACCCAGACCGCCAGCUAAGGUCCCAAAGUCAUGGUUAAGUGGGAAACGAUGUGGGAAGGCCCAGACAGCCAGGAUGUUGGCUUAGAAGCAGCCAUCAUUUAAAGAAAGCGUAAUAGCUCACUGGUCGAGUCGGCCUGCGCGGAAGAUGUAACGGGGCUAAACCAUGCACCGAAGCUGCGGCAGCGACGCUGAUGCGUUGUUGGGUAGGGGAGCGUUCUGUAAGCCUGCGAAGGUGGCCUGUGAGGGUUGCUGGAGGUAUCAGAAGUGCGAAUGCUGACAUAAGUAACGAUAAAGCGGGUGAAAAGCCCGCUCGCCGGAAGACCAAGGGUUCCUGUCCAACGUUAAUCGGGGCAGGGUGAGUCGACCCCUAAGGCGAGGCCGAAAGGCGUAGUCGAUGGGAAACGGGUUAAUAUUCCCGUACUUGGUGUUACUGCGAAGGGGGGACGGAGAAGGCUAUGUUGGCCGGGCGACGGUUGUCCCGGUUUAAGCGUGUAGGUGUGUGUUCCAGGUAAAUCCGGUUCACUUUAACACUGAGGCGUGAUGACGAGGCACUACGGUGCUGAAGCAACAAAUGCCCUGCUUCCAGGAAAAGCCUCUAAGCAUCAGGUAACAUCAAAUCGUACCCCAAACCGACACAGGUGGUCAGGUAGAGAAUACCAAGGCGCUUGAGAGAACUCGGGUGAAGGAACUAGGCAAAAUGGUGCCGUAACUUCGGGAGAAGGCACGCUGACACGUAGGUGAAGUGAUUUACUCAUGGAGCUGAAGUCAGUCGAAGAUACCAGCUGGCUGCAACUGUUUAUUAAAAACACAGCACUGUGCAAACACGAAAGUGGACGUAUACGGUGUGACGCCUGCCCGGUGCCGGAAGGUUAAUUGAUGGGGUCAGCGCAAGCGAAGCUCCUGAUCGAAGCCCCGGUAAACGGCGGCCGUAACUAUAACGGUCCUAAGGUAGCGAAAUUCCUUGUCGGGUAAGUUCCGACCUGCACGAAUGGCGUAAUGAUGGCCAGGCUGUCUCCACCCGAGACUCAGUGAAAUUGAACUCGCUGUGAAGAUGCAGUGUACCCGCGGCAAGACGGAAAGACCCCGUGAACCUUUACUAUAGCUUGACACUGAACAUUGAGCCUUGAUGUGUAGGAUAGGUGGGAGGCUUUGAAGUGUGG